rnacentral:rRNA from 1 species
GACGAACGCUAGCGGCAGGCCUAAUACAUGCAAGUCGAACGGUGUCUUCGGACAUAGUGGCGCACGGGUGCGUAACACGUAUGCAACCUACCUUACAUUGGGGGAUAGCCUUUCGAAAGGGAGAUUAAUACCGCAUAAGACAGUAGCUGGGCAUCCAGCAGCUGUUAAAGAUUUAUCGAUGUAAGCUGGGCAUGCGUCCAAUUAGCUAGUUGGUGAGGUAACGGCCCACCAAGGCAAUGAUUGGUAGGGGAACUGAGAGGUCAAUCCCCCACACUGGCACUGAGAUACGGGCCAGACUCCUACGGGAGGCAGCAGUAGGGAAUAUUGGGCAAUGGACGCAAGUCUGACCCAGCCAUGCCGCGUGCAGGAUGAAGGCGUUAUGCGUUGUAAACUGCUUUUAUACAGGAAGAAACGACUCUUGCGAGGGGCAUUGACGGUACUGUAUGAAUAAGCACCGGCUAACUCCGUGCCAGCCGCCGCCGUAAAAC